CCUACGUGAGGCUGCAGUGAGGAAUAUUGGUCAAUGGGCGGAAGCCUGAACCAGCCAAGUAGCGUGAGGGAUGAAGGCCCUACGGGUCGUAAACCGCUUUUGCACGGGGAUAACACCCUCCACUUGUGGAGGUCUGCAGGUACCGUGCGAAUAAGGGCCGGCUAAUUCCGUGCCAGCAGCCGCGGUAAUACGGAAGGCCCGAGCGUUAUCCGGAUUAAUUGGGCUUAAAGGGAGCGUAGGCGGGCGUUCAAGUCAGCUGUAAAAUCGCGCGCCUCAACCGCGCCCCGCAGUUGAAACUGGACGCCUUGAGUUCACAACAGGCAGGCGGAAUUCGUGGUGUAGCGGUGAAAUGCAUAGAUAUCACGAGGAACCCCGAUUGCGAAGGCAGCCUGCCGGGGUGCGACUGACGCUGAGGCUCGAAGGUGCGGGUAUCAAACAGGAUUAGAUACCCUGGUAGUC
rnacentral:rRNA from 1 species